rnacentral:tRNA from 1 species
GCCGGGGUAGCUCAGCGGGCUAGAGCGCCAGACUCAUAAUCUGGAGGCCGAGGGUUCGAAACCCUCCCCCGGCA